UGGCCAUUACCCUAAGCGGGCACAGCUGUGUGAGGACUCCAGAAAGGCAACAGUGCAUGGAGACUCUUCACCCCCUCACCCACCUCCUCAUCUAUUUACUGGCCUAUUCCUGCGUUUACUCGUGUUUGUACUUGCUUGUUUACUUUUUUAGGAUUUUUGUAGAGGACUAGGCAGCUACCCGGGACAAAACUCACUUGGGACUCGAAAGCCCCACCCACCGGCCAAGAAAUGGCCAUUUGUUUUCAAAUACUGUACACUGGAAAAAUCCAAAGGAUUCAUCAGAUGAACAAAUUUCAAAGAGCCACUACCAAUUUUUUUUCUUAAGAAAAACAUCAAGCAUCUGAUUUGCUACUGAUAAAAUCUCUAACAGGCACUUGGAACAGAAAUGAGCUCUAUCCAAAUACCCGAAUCCAGUCAGGCCUGAUACUAUGUUCCUACCACCCUCGGAAGUGAGUUUUGAAAAUAAACACUUGAAAGUCUGCCCAGAUUGUUGUAAUCUUAUUAAUCUAACAAAGAGACUCAGUAACUGCCUCAACCAGGGGAUCAGUGUUUACCAUGUAAUUUGCAACGAGUUGAUAAACACAACCUUGCCCUACUCGAAGGAAAAUCUCAUGCUCCCUGCGAGGAAAGCAGUUGGCAGAAAACAGUAAUAGAGGAUUGGAGACCAAAAAUAGCGUGGUUUAGGAUCCAGGUCAUCUCCUCCACCCCCUGGCCUCCCUGCCCCCUGCAUCUCCAAGGUCAGAGGCAAAUGUGUGUUUUUCCUGGACUCCCAAGGAUCUGCCAGAUGUUCCUGGCUGCUCUGGGCAGUUGUCAGAGAGCUCAGGCUGAGGGAUUUCUGCCUAGGGUCUUGCCCUAUGCUCUGAGGUCGUUCUUUAUUCUCUCGCAGAUUUUAGGCCUAUUCUCUGA